rnacentral:tRNA from 1 species
GGGGAUAUGGCGAAAUCGGUAGACGCUACGGACUUAAAAUCCGUCGA